rnacentral:tRNA from 1 species
GCUUGGGUGGCUCAGUGGUUGAGCAUCUGCCUUCAGCUCAGGGUGUGACCCCGGGGGUCCCGGGAUAGAGUCCCGCCUCAGGCU